UCCCAUCCAGCGAGAGAAACCUAGCUCCCAGAGCCGGUGCAGUCAGUCCCCUCGCCCCUCCCGCCCCUGCACGGGUCCCCCUCUAGCCGUCGCUGCAACCACCACCUCGGUUCCACUCAACCGAUUUUUGCUGCAUGUCAACACUUAUUACCGCUGUUACCUAAACAACAAACUAGACACACUUCACUGCAAACAGUGGGAAGAAUGGUGUUACCUUUGAUGAAACAUCCAUGGAACAUUUGCAUUUCAUGAGCAGCUUUAUGGUGAGAAAUUGAAACCUCCUGCCAACAGCCAUGUGAGUGAGCUUGGAAGCAGAUUCUCCAGCUCUUCAAAUAAUGGCAGCCCCAGAAAACAACUUAAAUGCAACCUCCUGAGAGUCUCUGAGCUAGAACUACCUAGCUAAACUGCUGUGAGAUUCUUCAACCUCAAAACUGGGAUGAGAUAACAAAUAUUUAUUGUUUUAAGGAAUCUUCAAAUGAUAAUUUUGAAAAGAGAAGCAGUCCUUUUCAUGAUGAAGAGAUGAGUUGUCAAAAGCCGAUCACUCAUUCUGGGAGAAGACAACCGUCAUAUCAUGUCAUGAAGAUACUCAUGCAGUCCUAUGGAGAAUUUCAUUGGUAAGAAACUGAGCUAGAAUGAACUUGACAGCCUUGUGAGAGAGCCAUCUUAGAAGCAGACCUUCAGCCUCAGACAGCUUUCAGAGGAUUGUAGCCCCAGCUGAAACAUCAACCACAAUCUCAUGAGAGACACUGAACCAGAAUCACCCAGCCAAGCUGUUCCCAAAUUCCUGAGCCAUAGAAACUGUGUGAGAUAAUAAAUGUUUAUUGUUGUUC
rnacentral:lncRNA from 1 species